CCUCUCAUCAAAUAAGUUCUUCAAUCCCGAAACUUGAGCUUAGUCUCCAAAUCCUUUGAGUUAAGAUGUCUUAUGACCCUCGUCAUUUAUAAAUUAAACUCAAUAAAAUUGAUGUCUACACUUUGAUCGGAUUGAACAAGAACAUUGUCAUGUUCACUUGCAAUAUUCACAUAAGCCUUUAUCGGAUUCAGUUGUCCGCAAAUAUUUUGAUAUUUACUCGAUGAAAGAUCUGCUAUAAGGGUGAAUAAAUUUGUAAUUCAAGCCCCAUCACAAAUCGCGGUAGAUCAACUGCAUCUAGCUUGGAAAUCAAGAGUACUAUAUGCUCGUUGACGCCUUCAUCAAGACCAAAAGUAAACUGUACAUUGUUGCCUCUAUUCCCCAAUCUUGGAAUCUAAAUAUCUCUUGAUCAAUUUUUUAUGCUUGGUUCUAUCAUAUAGUUACU